GGUUAAGCGACCAAGCGUACACGGUGGAUGCCCUGGCAGUCAGAGGCGAUGAAGGACGUGCUAAUCUGCGAUAAGCGCCGGUAAGGUGAUAUGAACCGUUAUAACCGGCGAUUUCCGAAUGGGGAAACCCAGUGUGAUUCGUCACACUAUCAUUAACUGAAUCCAUAGGUUAAUGAGGCGAACCGGGGGAACUGAAACAUCUAAGUACCCCGAGGAAAAGAAAUCAACCGAGAUUCCCCCAGUAGCGGCGAGCGAACGGGGAGGAGCCCAGAGCCUGAAUCAGCAUGUGUGUUAGUGGAAGCGUCUGGAAAGGCGCGCGAUACAGGGUGACAGCCCCGUACACAAAAGCGCAUAUGCUGUGAGCUCGAUGAGUAGGGCGGGACACGUGGUAUCCUGUCUGAAUAUGGGGGGACCAUCCUCCAAGGCUAAAUACUCCUGACUGACCGAUAGUGAACCAGUACCGUGAGGGAAAGGCGAAAAGAACCCCGGCGAGGGGAGUGAAACAGAACCUGAAACCGUGUACGUACAAGCAGUGGGAGCACAGGUUUACCUGUGUGACUGCGUACCUUUUGUAUAAUGGGUCAGCGACUUAUAUUCUGUAGCAAGGUUAACCGUAUAGGGGAGCCGAAGGGAAACCGAGUCUUAAUUGGGCGUUAAGUUGCAGGGUAUAGACCCGAAACCCGGUGAUCUAGCCAUGGGCAGGUUGAAGGUUGGGUAACACUAACUGGAGGACCGAACCGACUAAUGUUGAAAAAUUAGCGGAUGACCUGUGGCUGGGGGUGAAAGGCCAAUCAAACCGGGAGAUAGCUGGUUCUCCCCGAAAGCUAUUUAGGUAGCGCCUCGUGAACUCAUCUCCGGGGGUAGAGCACUGUUUCGGCUAGGGGGCCAUCCCGGCUUACCAACCCGAUGCAAACUGCGAAUACCGGAGAAUGUUAUCACGGGAGACACACGGCGGGUGCUAACGUCCGUCGUGAAGAGGGAAACAACCCAGACCGCCAGCUAAGGUCCCAAAGUCAUGGUUAAGUGGGAAACGAUGUGGGAAGGCCCAGACAGCCAGGAUGUUGGCUUAGAAGCAGCCAUCAUUUAAAGAAAGCGUAAUAGCUCACUGGUCGAGUCGGCCUGCGCGGAAGAUGUAACGGGGCUAAACCAUGCACCGAAGCUGCGGCAGCGACGCUUAUGCGUUGUUGGGUAGGGGAGCGUUCUGUAAGCCUGUGAAGGUGGCCUGUGAGGGUUGCUGGAGGUAUCAGAAGUGCGAAUGCUGACAUAAGUAACGAUAAAGCGGGUGAAAAGCCCGCUCGCCGGAAGACCAAGGGUUCCUGUCCAACGUUAAUCGGGGCAGGGUGAGUCGACCCCUAAGGCGAGGCCGAAAGGCGUAGUCGAUGGGAAACGGGUUAAUAUUCCCGUACUUGGUGUUACUGCGAAGGGGGGACGGAGAAGGCUAUGUUGGCCGGGCGACGGUUGUCCCGGUUUAAGCGUGUAGGUGUGUGUUCCAGGUAAAUCCGGUUCACUUUAACACUGAGGCGUGACGACGAGGCACCACGGUGCUGAAGCAACAAAUGCCCUGCUUCCAGGAAAAGCCUCUAAGCAUCAGGUAACAUCAAAUCGUACCCCAAACCGACACAGGUGGUCAGGUAGAGAAUACCAAGGCGCUUGAGAGAACUCGGGUGAAGGAACUAGGCAAAAUGGUGCCGUAACUUCGGGAGAAGGCACGCUGACACGUAGGUGAAGUGGUUUACCCAUGGAGCUGAAGUCAGUCGAAGAUACCAGCUGGCUGCAACUGUUUAUUAAAAACACAGCACUGUGCAAACACGAAAGUGGACGUAUACGGUGUGACGCCUGCCCGGUGCCGGAAGGUUAAUUGAUGGGGUCAGCGCAAGCGAAGCUCCUGAUCGAAGCCCCGGUAAACGGCGGCCGUAACUAUAACGGUCCUAAGGUAGCGAAAUUCCUUGUCGGGUAAGUUCCGACCUGCACGAAUGGCGUAAUGAUGGCCAGGCUGUCUCCACCCGAGACUCAGUGAAAUUGAACUCGCUGUGAAGAUGCAGUGUACCCGCGGCAAGACGGAAAGACCCCGUGAACCUUUACUAUAGCUUGACACUGAACAUUGAGCCUUGAUGUGUAGGAUAGGUGGGAGGCUUUGAAGCGUGGACGCCAGUCUGCGUGGAGCCAACCUUGAAAUACCACCCUUUAAUGUUUGAUGUUCUAACGUGGACCCGUAAUCCGGGUUGCGGACAGUGUCUGGUGGGUAGUUUGACUGGGGCGGUCUCCUCCUAAAGAGUAACGGAGGAGCACGAAGGUUGGCUAAUCCUGGUCGGACAUCAGGAGGUUAGUGCAAUGGCAUAAGCCAGCUUGACUGCGAGCGUGACGGCGCGAGCAGGUGCGAAAGCAGGUCAUAGUGAUCCGGUGGUUCUGAAUGGAAGGGCCAUCGCUCAACGGAUAAAAGGUACUCCGGGGAUAACAGGCUGAUACCGCCCAAGAGUUCAUAUCGACGGCGGUGUUUGGCACCUCGAUGUCGGCUCAUCACAUCCUGGGGCUGAAGUAGGUCCCAAGGGUAUGGCUGUUCGCCAUUUAAAGUGGUACGCGAGCUGGGUUUAGAACGUCGUGAGACAGUUCGGUCCCUAUCUGCCGUGGGCGCUGGAGAACUGAGGGGGGCUGCUCCUAGUACGAGAGGACCGGAGUGGACGCAUCACUGGUGUUCGGGUUGUCAUGCCAAUGGCACUGCCCGGUAGCUAAAUGCGGAAGAGAUAAGUGCUGAAAGCAUCUAAGCACGAAACUUGCCCCGAGAUGAGUUCUCCCUGAGACUUUAAGUCUCCUGAAGGAACGUUGAAGACGACGACGUUGAUAGGCCGGGUGUGUAAGCGCAGCGAUGCGUUGAGCUAACCGGUACUAAUGAACCGUGAGGCUUAACCUU
rnacentral:rRNA from 2 species